AUUGAACGCUGGCGGCAGGCCUAACACAUGCAAGUCGAGCGAGCGGCGGACGGGUGAGUAAUGUAUGGGGACUGCCCGAUAGAGGGGGAUAACUAGUGGAAACGGUGGCUAAUACCGCAUACUAUCGGAUAACCCAUAUGGGAUUAGCUAGUAGGUGGGGUAAAGGCUCACCUAGGCGACGAUCUCUAGCUGGUCUGAGAGGAUGAUCGCCCACACUGGGACGGAGACACGGCCCAGACUCCUACGGGGGCGGCAGUGGGGAAUAUUGGAAAAGGGGCGCAGUCCUGAUGCGGCCAUGCCGCGUGUAUGAGGAAGGCCUUGGGGUUGAAAAGUACUUUCUGCGGGGAGGCGGUACCCGAAGAAGAAGCACCGGCUAACUCCGUGCCAGCAGCCGCGGUAAUUC
rnacentral:rRNA from 1 species